CUUGGCUAUGUUUUGAUAUGUUAGAAGUCUGAGUUUCUGGCUCCGCCACUGUGGCCGGCCAUGCAUGGCACUUAUUACGUGGAAAAGUAUUCUUCGCCAUAUUUCACAAGGGGAAUAGUGGAUACACUAUAAGUGUUAUCAUAAUACGAAUUCACUGAUUGACGAAGUGGUGUUAGCUCAGUGGUUAGAGCACCCACUACCUAUGUACGAAGUCAUGGGUUCGAGUCACCAUGGGGGCAGGAGUGAAACCGGAAAAAAAAUUCACUGAUUGACUUACGGGCAUGAUUCGCUAUCAAAACCGCACGGAACAAUUUCGACUUGAGGAGUAAGGGCUACAAAAGAAUCGACCCAGCAGCAUGUUUACAAACUGGGUCGGUCCAUAUAUAAUCGGGUUGGGCCUUGACACUGUUCAAAUUAUGUAUAUAUUGUUUAUUCUUGGUAUACCUGGCAUAAGAGGCCCAAGUGAUCUGUU